rnacentral:rRNA from 1 species
UGAGUAAAGGUGGGGAUCUUCGGACCUGCCACCAAGGGAGAGGCUUGAGUCGUACCAGCUUGUUGGUGAGGUAAUGGCUCACCAAGGCGAAGACGCGUAGCCGGACUGAGAGGUUGGCCGGCCACACUGGCACUGAGACACUGGCCAGACUCCUACGGGAGGCUGCAGUCGAGAAUCUUCCGCAAUGGACGAAAGUCCGACGGAGCGACGCCGCGUGGAGGAAGAAGGCCUUCGGGUUGUAAACUCCUGUCAUAGCUUAUGAAAAGCGGGUGGUUAAUAACCAUCCGCCUGACAAAGGGCUCAAAGGAAGCCACAGCUAACUUCGUGCCAGCAGCUGCGGUAAUACGAAGGUGGCGAGCGUUGUUCGGAUUCACUGGGCAUAAAGGGCGCGUAGGCGGUCUGGAAAGCGAAUGUGAAAUCCCGGAGCUCAACUCCGGAACUGCAUUCCGAACUCCCAGACUAGAGAACAGGAGGGGGGUAUGGAACUCUAGGUGGAGCGGUGAAAUGCGUAGAUAUCUAGAGGAACGCCGGUGGCGAAAGCGGUACCCUGGCCUGUCACUGACGCUGAGGCGCGAAAGCGUGGGUAGCAAACAGGAUUAGAUACCCUGGUAGUCCACGCCGUAAACGAUGAGCACUAGGUAGCCGGCGGAACCGACCGUUGGCUGCCGCAGGUAAUCCG